rnacentral:rRNA from 1 species
UACGUAGGGGGCAAGCGCUAUCCGGAAUUACUGGGUGUAAAGGGCGCGUAGGCGGUUAUUUAAGUUAGAUGUGAAAUCCCAAGGCUCAACUUUGGAACUGCAUCUAAAACUGGGUAACUAGAGUGUGGGAGAGGAAAGCGGAAUUCUCAGUGUAGCGGUGAAAUGCGUAGAUAUUGAGAGGAACACCGGUGGCGAAGGCGGCUUUCUGGACCAUAACUGACGCUGAGGAGCGAAAGCGUGGGGAGCAAACAGG